rnacentral:rRNA from 1 species
AUUGAACGCUGGCGGCAUGCUUUACACAUGCAAGUCGAACGGUAACAGGCCGCAAGGUGCUGACGAGUGGCGAACGGGUGAGUAAUGCAUCGGAACGUGCCCAGUCGUGGGGGAUAACGCAGCGAAAGCUGCGCUAAUACCGCAUACGAUCUAUGGAUGAAAGCGGGGGACCGUAAGGCCUCGCGCGAUUGGAGCGGCCGAUGUCAGAUUAGGUAGUUGGUGGGGUAAAGGCUCACCAAGCCAACGAUCUGUAGCUGGUCUGAGAGGACGACCAGCCACACUGGGACUGAGACACGGCCCAGACUCCGACGGGAGGCAGCAGUGGGGAAUUUUGGACAAUGGGCGCAAGCCUGAUCCAGCAAUGCCGCGUGCAGGAAGAAGGCCUUCGGGUUGUAAACUGCUUUUGUACGGAACGAAACGGUCCGGGUUAAUACCCUGGGCUAAUGACGGUACCGUAAGAAUAAGCACCGGCUAACUACGUGCCAGCAGCCGCCGUAACAC